rnacentral:Y_RNA from 1 species
GGUUGGUCCAAGUGCAGUGGCGUUUACAACUAAUUGAUCACAACCAGUUACAGAUUCCUUUGUUCCUUUUCCACUCCCACUGCUUCACUUGACCAGCCUUUA